rfam:Dipodomys ordii contig_51157, whole genome shotgun sequence.
GGGAAUGUGGCUUAGUGGUAGAGCGCUUGCCUAGCAUGCAUGAAGCCCUGGGUUAGAUUCCUCAAUACCA